rnacentral:misc_RNA from 2 species
GAAAUGCGAUACGUAAUGUGAAUUGCAGAAUUCAGUGAAUCAUCGAGUCUUUGAACGCACAUUGCGCCCCCUGGUAUUCCGGGGGGCAUGCCUGUCCGAGCGUCAUUGCUGCCCUCAAGCACGGCUUGUGUGUUGGGCCCCCGUCCCCCUGUUCUAGGGGGGGACGGGCCCGAAAGGCAGCGGCGGCACCGUGUCCGGUCCUCGAGCGUAUGGGAAGCAACUUUUUGUCACCCGCUCCUGUAGGUCCGGCCGGCGGCCUGCCCAACCCCCAUCAAUCUUUUUUUAACCAGGUUGACCUCGGAUCAGGUAGGGAUACCCGCUGAACUUAA